rnacentral:rRNA from 1 species
GUAGGUGGCAAGCGUUGUCCGGAAUUAUUGGGCGUAAAGCGCGCGCAGGCGGUUCUUUAAGUCUGAUGUGAAAGCCCACGGCUCAACCGUGGAGGGUCAUUGGAAACUGGAGAACUUGAGUACAGAAGAGGAAAGCGGAAUUCCACGUGUAGCGGUGAAAUGCGUAGAGAUGUGGAGGAACACCAGUGGCGAAGGCGGCUUUUCUGGUCUGUAACUGACGCUGAGGCGCGAAAGCGUGGGGAGCAAACAGGGACUAGAUACCCUGGUAGUCCACGCCGUAAACGAUGAGUGCUAAGUGUUAGGGGGGUUUCCGCCCCCUUAGUGCUGCAGCUAACGCAUUAAGCACUCCGCCUGGGGAGUACGGCCGCAAGGCUG